rnacentral:rRNA from 1 species
UACGUCGGGGGCAAGCGUUGUCCGGAUUUAUUGGGCGUAAAGAGCGUGUAGGCGGCUAGGUAGGUGGGUUGUGAAAACUGGAGGCUCAACCUUCAGAGGUCGACCCAAACCCCCUGGCUAGAGUCCGGAAGAGGAGAGUGGAAUUCCUGGUGUAGCGGUGAAAUGCGCAGAUAUCAGGAAGAACACCCGUGGCGAAGGCGGCUCUCUGGGACGGUACUGACGCUGAGACGCGAAAGCGUGGGGAGCGAACAGG